rnacentral:tRNA from 1 species
AUUCUCUUAUUAUAAAAAGUAUAUCAAGCUUCCAACUUGAGGGUUUAGUGUCUAAAGUGAAUA